UUAUGAAUAUGCUUAGCCUUAAAUAUGUGUUUAAUUUGUUGCAGCCGUUACUGAUAUUGAUACCAGUGGCAUCCAUGCCCUGGAAGAGUUAUAUAGAAGUCUUCAAAAGAGAGAAGUUCAGGUAACAAAAGAUGAAUAAAUAAAUUAUUUUCAUAUAAUGCAUGUUUUGAUUGAUGCCAGUGGCAUGUUUUGAUUCAUGUUUUGGAAUAUGCAUGUUAUGAAAGUAAGUUGAAAACAUCGUCUUAAUGCAUGUUUUGAUUCGCGGUGAGUUUUGCAGAAUCUUAGCGGCUUGGCUCACCGUGAUUUUGUCCUACCCACCGUGAUUCUAAACAUGCACUUAUAGACACAUUAAUGUCAUAUAUUGUUUUCAUAAGAUCUCGCAAAUAGUGUCGCAAUUGCUUAUAUCAUUGUCGAUAGAUAAAUUAAAUUAAUUCAAUUCAAAUUCAAAAUGCCCUAUAUAUAUUUGUAUGUUAACAACAUUUCUAAACAAUAUAAUAUAAGGUAACAAUUAUAGAUAUCUUAACUAAAAAGGUACCUCUUUCUUGAGCAGCUUGUUCUUGCAAAUCCUGGUCCACUAGUGAUAGACAAACUCCACACAUCCAACUUUGCAAACUUUCUUGGUGAAGACAAGAUCUUCCUAACUGUUGCAGAGGCUGUUGCAUACUGUUCUCCAAAGCUAGCUGAAGACCCUUGAAUGAAAUAGUGUGGAAAAUUUUGAUUUUACCAUUCUUAGUAUAUAGGAAAAUGUCAUUAAGAAAUGAAGUAAGGUUAGUGAGAAGAGACAUGUUUGGCUUUCAGCUGGGUUAGCUAUGAGGUUGUUACAAAGUGGCCUUUUUUGUUGGGUCAGUACUAUGUUAGCAACACAUACACUUUUUGUCACACUCUCUUGUAUUAAUUGAAAUUUAUGUUCGCCGCAUAAUUUCAUUAACCCGCUUGAAUUUCUUGUAUUAGAUUAGAGUGUGUUAAGAAGUGUAUGUUAGAGAUUCCUUAAAAAAUGUAUGUGAGAGAUUGUGGUACAAACACUUAUCCUUAAUAUUUUUAUAAAGGAAAAUAAAACAUAUUAAAGAAUUUUGUUCAUUGUUUCACUCUGUCUAAGGAUUAACUCCAAUCCUUUGUUUUCACCAACCAAUAAUGGGUGAAAAUGAAUCAAACUUCACACUUUGUAGGGUGAGGGAUAUUUCGGAUUAUACAAUCCGAAUAUCUUAUGUUCAUGAUUUUUUUUUGUGUGGUCCACAUUGCACCAACAAUUUUUGUGGUCCACGACGGACAUAAACCUCCAUAAAUAAGUGUGCUCGGUUCAUUUGUUAUAAAUGCAACAAAAAACUUUGUAAAAUCCUUCGAACGAUAUGAACACCAAGAGGUUGCUAUGAGCUAGAUCUUGUUGCUUUGGCAAUAUAAAUAUGUCAGUUGGCAAGGCAGCAAGAUCUAACUCAAAACAAUCCUCUUGAAACACCAUGUAUUUCAUCAUUAUGUUGUAGUUCUGAUUCCAAAGAGGUUCUUAUGAACUUGAUCCAGUUGACAUGCCGAACCAAAUAUGUCAGUUGGCAGGCCAGCUGGAUCUAAUACAAAAGCACCUCUUCGAACACCUUCCCAAAAGAUUCAUCACUUAUGUUAUUGUGUUGUUUUAGGCAAUUUAAUUAUUUUUCUGAGUUAAAUGAUUAUUUCAGUUCAGAAGAUUGAUUUGCUAGGAGGCUUCAACAAACGGUCACCAAAAAUUGAUUGACUGGUUAUUAGCUUUACCCGAGCAUCAUGACAUUUGAUUUUGUGGUUGACUACCUCAUUUAGAGGAUUGCUGAUUCAUUGUAUCCUACAAACUUGAACUCACAAGUGAAACUAUUUUAUAUUUUAGGCAAAACUAAAUGGCCAAAUUGAUUACACUAGACCAAAUAUCAUAGUUUGUUUCAUCAAUCUAGUUGCAAUAAUGUCUGCAAGUCUUUAAGUACCUCAACACAAGAAAAACCAAAGUAAACAUUCAUACAUGAAGACAUUAACUUAGGGGGAAAGUUACAAGUCCAUUUUUUUAACAUUGGAUUUCAUGAAAUGAAAAGUUGGAUAAUUUGGUUGAAGAUGCACACUUCUAAAAGUAAUUUAGAAAAGAAAAGAUUGUUAUAAGAGGCAGAAAAUGAAUGAGAUUGAAUUAAAGAUGAAACAACAAAGAUCAAAAGAUUGCAUUAUCCAGACACUAUAUAUGUUUAUUUUCAAAGAUGUACACAGAUCAAAAGAUAUACUGGAUGCCGACCCCUGAAUUGAGUUAAGUACAGACUGCAAGAACAGAAUGAAUUCCUUUGGAUUAGUCUCAGUACUAAUCCUAAAGGUUUGGUCUAAACUAUAUUAUACUAAUCAUAAAAGUUAGGUCUAAACUAUAUUAUCUGUGUUCACUUCACAUUACAAAAAAUAAGAAUAUGUGAGUAGCAGAAUUAUGGGUCACUCAAUUUUGUUUUGCCUUAGUACUAGCAUCUUAUUUAUUUCAUAUCAAAGUUUUGUGCAUGAUUAGUCGUUCAUUUUUCACAAUUGUGCACACUUUAUUUUCAAAGAAGUGUGCACACUUUAUUGCAAUACAAAUACUAACAGAAGAACCUAACUGAGAAUAAUGGUACCUUCUAGAAGGAAUAUGAUCAUACUGUUUAUUUAUAUUCUUGUAGCAACAUGCAUUUUGAAUGGUACCAUGAAUUGUUUGUAAAUUUAUAAAAAUUCUUUUCUACUUCUGUUGCAAAACUGGAAUCUGAAUUCUACGUCAAUUUAGGUAUGUACUUUCUUGUAAUCGUAUUCAGCCCAUUUAUCAGGCUUGUUAUGUAUAGCGCAGUCAAUAUAAACGUAUUAGUAUACACACUAUUCAACAUUAGAAUAAUAUUCAUAAUUUUUCCUACAAAUGCCAUUAUUUCCUUCCCAUUUCUCUGACAAGCAGUAUUUAUUCAAAGUUCUAAAAGUUUCUGCUAUUAAGGUGCAAUAGCAAUGGUCCUAGGUCGUCACCGUUCAAUGCCGAGGAUCUACAAUUGGAGUUUUGUAGUUUUAAGCUCUUGCUUAUCAUAUGUUAUGUCAUGAAUAUUGGCUUGAUGCCUAUACAUAUAAUUACACUAAAUAAUUACAUAUAAUGGAAACAAAUCAAUUUCUGAUUUAUGUCUUUAUUUCUAGGAACAAACUAAUAAAUAUAAUAAGGAGAAACAAUGUAUCUAAUUGUUGUUGUUAUGAAUCAAAGGAUUCCAUGGUUCUAGAUCAAAUGCAAUGGAAAGAUAGAUUGUGUAAUUCUCUCUAGGAGUCAUUACCAAGAAACAAUCGUAUAAAAGAUAAUGAAAUAGUACAUAGGUGUAACUUAUUUAUAGUGACUUGGAGUAACUAACUCCCUAACUAACUUUCUACAUAGAUAACUUGCUCUCCAAGUUAUCUUCUUCACUAUACUCUAAUAGUUGUUUCAUGUACUUGCAGGGUUAAGAUUUAGUAGAUCUACGUUCUGAGUUCACAUCAAACUUUCUUCUAUUGUUUCUCUCCAUAUUUCUUCAAGUUUAUUCUUUCGAUGCAUUUUGAGAAGCUAGAUACAAUCGGAAGUUUAUUCUUCACUAAGCAUUCAAUUCAUUCACUAAAUUCGCAACAAUGAUUUAAAUUUCAAGUUCAAACCGAGUUUCUAAACUCAUUUGUAUUUGAGUGGAAGGCACAAGCUGGUAACAUAUGAAACGGGAUACAAAUCUAUAGUUGUGUUAAAUGUCCAAAAAAUGGUCAUAUAAAAUUUCUAUUUUAUUGACUGAUAUGAGUAAUAUAGCAGAAAGAAGAUUCAAGGAAAAAAAAAACAAAGAAUCUACAUCCAAUGAUUACAAGCCCAAAGGCAUUUGUGCAAGCUAAAAGUGAAGACUUCAGGGAUAAAAACCAACCCAAAAGCAAACUGAAAUAACAAACAAAGUAAGUGCAACAGAAUUAUUGACCUAAUAAGUAAUCUCGUAUGGAUGUACACGCACGCACACGACACUUUUCAUUUGUAUCUACACAACAGAAUUGCAUCAGUAUACUCACUCUAAAAUUUCAAAAGAAAAAUAAUGCUUGUAAGUAAAAACAAUGAAGUCAGACACAACUUUUACAGAAGUUAAACUAAUUUUCACUGAGCUCCUAAUUGUGACUGCAUACCAAUAUUGCACGGAUAUGCCGAUGAAGAUACCUCACUUGGUGCUUGGCUCAUUGGACCUAUUAUGGUUAUGAAGAAACGAGUCAGCACCUUUAAGACUGCCAAGGUUUGGCUAUGUGUCAGGCAAAGUACCACUCGACCCUGCCAUUGAAUGUGGAAUUUGUUGGGGGGAUGAACUCUCAGCAAGUCUAGGAUUGUUGACGGUUGAGGAGGAAGUCGAAGGUGCAGGUAUGUUGUAAACUUCAACCUGCCAAGGAUUGACUAGGUUUGGAUUCUGCGGGAUAUCAAGUCCAUCCCAAUUAACCUAUGAUAAAAAGAUAAAAAACAGGAAGAAUCAAUAUCAAGAAUUUGAAAUAUUUGAUAAAAUAUAAAUAGUAUAUAUGUGUAUUUAGACAUCAAAAGUUUCUUAUCAAUUAAUAACCUGAGCCAAAAUCAAGAUCUACUUAGCAUUAGGAGUAUUUACAAUGAGAAAGGCUUAGAAGGUUCUUAAACUUCAUAACUAUUUUUUAGUGAAUAUCACUGGUGAACCAAGUCAAGUAGGCAGUUGCAUAUAAAAACAAUCCAUUCUAAAAUGCAAUCUUAUUACAUAAAGUAAACAUUAAGUGUCAUGGGAGAUAUCUAUCAAGUGCAAGAACAAUGGGAAUUAAUAAUGAUGGAGAUGGAGAUUCUGUUACAAUUUUCUGUCUCAUCAAGUAUCAUCUAAUUAUAGUUUCAUGUAUUAAUUUCAACACUCAUAUUUAUCAAUCAAACAAUCUUUUUAUGAAUUCAACUAUAAACACUUGAAAUAUAACAAGACCAAAUGAAGAAAGCAUAUGUACCUCAAGCAUGCGCCAAUUAGGGACAUUAGAAGAAUGGUUAUAGACAAAAGAGAUUGUUCCCUUAAGCUGAGAAAUUGUCAUCUUUGAAUUUGAAGAUUCAUAUUUCUUCAAAGGAAGCUUCACUCUCAUUCCAGAUUUCCAACCAAUUUUCAUGGCAUCGUCAACAGUCUUAGCAUCCACCACAAAAUCACGCCAACCACUAGCUGUCGGAUAAUACACAACAUCAAAUGCUGUGUUCUUCUCCGCCAAUUCCGCUGCAUCCAAAACCUUAAUCUCAUCAGUUAAAUUCUCGCUUCCUUCAUCCGCUUCAUCUGUAGUGAACUUGGUCUUCCUGCGAAUUCCGACAGAUAUCUUUCCGGCAGAGUUUUUGAUGAAAACAACAGAAUCGUUCGCGACGAGUUUCUUCUCUCGUACAAAGUUUAACCAGCCAGUAUGUAAUCUACUGGAAUUUGAGUAGGUAUAUGUGUACCCCCGUUCUUGGUUUUUAAGGUCGGUGACAGUGAUGCUCUGAGACUUGUCCAAAUCAAGCUUGGGAAAGAUCAAGUUAGAGCAUUCGAUAGGUACGCAUAAUACUCGUGUACAAUCAGAUUGUGUGAGAGUCUUGACAUAGGAAACAAGAUUGUCUCCAUCAUCGUCUUCUUGGCCGGGAACUACAGGAGGAGGGGGUUCUUGGUCAGUUACGGGAGUCAGGAGCAGUUUGGCAAAGACCUCGUCGGUGUGAGGAUCAACAAAGAGAUCAACGGAAGAGACGAUGCAUGGAAUGGAUGAACGGUAACGAUCAAGAAUGGUUCUUGUGGCAGCAGUAGGGGAAGAACAUGCAUGUUCCAGAUGACCUCGUGGGAAGUAGUAAACUUUAGAGUGAAUCUUUGGAAUCUUGACGUCGGGGCCGGCGCAUAUCUGCCAUAUUUUGGGGUCCACACGAGGUGGCAGAGGAAGAGACAUGGCGGAGCUAUUGCAGAGAGAGAGAGAGAGAGAGAGAGAGAGAGAGAGAGAGAGAGUAUUGUUGGGUGUAUGAAAGUGUUAGUUAUAAAAGUGAAAACUGUGUGUGAAGUAGUUCGUUACAAAAUGCUUAAGUUUAUUUAUAGUGUUUCAGUUAUAGAUGAUUGCAUGGAUUAGCAUGGGCCUGGUUUGGAUGAGUUUUUCAGUUAUAGUCUAUCUUAUCCAUCCUUUUAAAUUAACAUGAGUUUAUGAGAACUAUUAAUAUCAAUUUAUAUCUAAGUUGAUUUUAAUUGACUCAUUUGAACUUAUUUACUAAUGUAAGCACUUGUGAGAUUGUUUAUGAGAACUAUUCAAAUUUGUAGUUAAUGUUUUGCAAAUGAACUUUUUAUAAUGAUUUAAAUAAGUCUUUAAAAAAUUAUUCUAAAAUUUUAAAGUUUAAACAUAAUUAAACAAUUUUUAAUUUAACGGGGACUAAACCUCCAUGUUCAAAAACUUAUUUGGACCAUAAAAUGAUCUAAAUCAAGAAUAAGAAUAUAUAAAUGUGCAUAAUUUAGAGCAAUUUAUUUCUUUAAAAAGUUCUAAAAUUAAAUAGAUCUUCAAUAUUUUGGACAAAUCUCCAAAUUAAAGAAAUUUGGUUGUUCGGCCUAAUAAAAUCAGCUUCAAAAAUAGUUUUAUUCCUCCACUUCCACAAGUACCAACAUAUCGUCAUGAAAGUUGUCUUCCAACUUAAAGUGUUUGUCCCAAUGUCUUUCUUGUUGAGGUUAUAAGCAACAAUGAAAUAAAAAUCUGCUUUAUUAAUUUUCCAAGAACUUGGAAUUAACAAACUCUACAUGCGAACAUACACUUCGUAACUAAAUUAUUUUUUUUGAAGGACUUUUUUUUUUUUUUUUUGUUCAAGUAGCCCAGUGGCUAGAGCUCACACAAUUUAAUUGUGGAGAAGUGGAGUGUCUGGGGUUCGAACCCCGACCCCUGCAUAUAAAAUGCGAUAUCCCUACCAACUGAGCUAAGCUCACGGGGAUAACUAAAUUAUUUUUUUGAAGGACUUGAUAACUAAAUUAUUAAAAAUGACAUAUAAUCAAUUUAAAAAUUGAACGACAUUUUCAUCAUAUUCAUCACUCCCUUAAUUUAUUUUUUGGUACAAAAAUCUGUAUAUUUUUACUCCAUUAAUUAAGAACCGGCAAGUCCGCAAUAAAAUAAAGUUCCGAUUUUGUCAAAAAUAAAAUAAAAUAAAGUCCCGAUAAAUUCUACACGUUUUUUUGGGUGUUCCAAUUCCACACAUGUUAAUCUAACUUAAAAAGGAAUAUAAUUUAUAAAUCAAUAGGAGUUACUAUUUUUUAAUUCUUUUUUUUUUAAGGAAUAGGACUUAUUAUAUGCUGGGAUUUGUUUUUUGUUGAGGGAAUUAUAUGUUGGAUAUUGUCAUUGAUUGUUUAUCAAAAAUCAUAAAUAUAGUUUACAAUCAAUAAUCUUAAAUAUAGUUUACAAUCAAAUAACAUAUUUAUAUUUUUUUUAUCAAUUAGUAGUUGUGGUUUUUUCAGGGGUAUUUGUAGUUGCGAUUGUGUGUGAUUAAAUUAAAGGAGAUUCGACACACUACUUUUUGCGGAAGUUCAGCAUGAUAGAAUAACAUGGAUGAUGGAACGUAACGGGAGGUAUACUGUCAAGAUUGGUUAUAAACUAGCUAUGAUUGAGUUGUUACAUACCGAUCGGUUCCAUGUUGAAGGAGCGUGGCAAAGAAUCUGGAAGGUGAAUUCCCCUCAUAAAGCUCGUAAUUUGUUAUGGAGGAUUUACAGGGGAUGUGUUCCGACGCAUUUUCGAUUACAAUCACGACAUGUGCAAUGUGAGGUGGUCUGUCCUUGGUGUGAUACGACUAUUGAGGAUGAUUGGCAUGCUUUUGUGGGUUGUACGAUGGCGCGUGGGAGUUGGUAUUGGGCAAGACUUUCGACUGUGGUGCAACCGCGAGUUGGAACUGUGAAUAGUUUGGCAGAUUUUGUUUUUGAUAUAUGUUGUUCAGAAAGUCGAGACUUUGCUGGUCGAAUGGCUUUACUUCUUUGGCAAAUUUGAGCUGCACGUAAUGAUACCAUUUGGAAUGAUGCUCAUCAUACAUCAACGAGCAUUGGGAAGACGGCAUUAUAUGCAUGGCAGCAAUGCCAAGAGGUUCAUAAACAGCGCCCACUAUCGGUGAUGCAACACAGGCAUAAACCGAGCGAGACGUGGUUGAAGUGCAAUGUGGAUUCCGCGUUCCAUGACCGUAACCAUAUUACAAUUUUCACGUGUUGUGUUAGAGUCUCACGCGGGAAAUUUAUUCGAGCUCAAACGAAAUGGCAGCGGGCAAAUAUGACAGUUUUGGAGGGGGAGGCAGUAGCCUUACUCGAGGCCCUUCACUUUGCUGAUGCGAACAGAUGGGACUGAGUUGUCUUCGAGUCCGACUCAUCUACUCUAGUGCAAGCUCUAUCGUCUCAGGGUCAUGGUGAUUAAGAAUUCUAUGUUAUUGUUUCUAGUAUUAUUUAUCAGUUAUAUUUACAUUCCAACUUCCAGGUGAAGUUUGUUAGGAGAUAAGCGAACAUGGUUGCUCAUACUUUAGCUAGGGCGGCCUGUUCUUGGGCUAGUCACUGUAUUUUUUAUUCUUAUCCUUCUUGUAUUGAACAUUGUUUGAUUAAUGAUAAUAGUUAAAUUUGUUUCUGUCAAAAAAAUUUAAAGGAGAAUGCUAACCAUUGCCUUUUGGGCAUUGGUUAAAGUACUAAAAUAAGUAAGUUUGCAUAGAAAAGUUGUGUAAUUAUUGCUAAGAAAAAAAAUAAAGAUUUGAAUUUUUAAGACAAAGUUUUUAUUGAUGGAAUCCUUCAUCAUUGCCCCUAGUGCACUCGUUAGCAAGACCCUAAAUUAAAUUAAGGAUCAUGCUAACCGGAUCGGUGCACUAGUUAAUGAUAUAAAAAAAGAAAGUUAUUACUAAAAAAAGAAACUUUUUUGAUUUUUUAUAACUUAAUUACACAAUUUUUAAUGCAAUAACUACUAUAUAAUUUUUUUUUAGUAUCCUUAUUUAGUAUCCUGGAACAACUAGCAUUUCCCUUAAAUUAAAUAUUAAAUUUUGUCAUUGUGCUUGUUUAAGGGAUAAUUAAGUAUUUAAAUAAUAUUGGCCAAAUAAAGGAAUGAUGUAGUGUAGUGACAACUCUACAAAUAGACUCUUGUAUAAAAAUAAAAAAAUAAAAAAUAAAAACUACAAAUAGACUAUAUGGUCUUAUGCACAUUAUACCUCUUCUAUAUAAUCAAUCUCACUCAAAUCAGAAUCAAACUAUUGUUUUGUUUUGUUUUUAUAUAUGUGUCUUAUCAACUCUAACUAUUGAUGUUUGAUUUUAUUUUCUGUUUAAUUCGAAAAGCAACAUUUUUGUUGUUGUUUGUACUUUGUAUGAGAUUCACUUAUAUUUAGACAUGUAAGAGAUGAGAAAGCUUCCAGGUACUAAUUAAAAUAAAAUCCAUAUUGCCCUGAUAAACAAGUGAAAAAUAUUCCGAAAACUGAGAUCACCCUUCUCUGCAUACAAUGCUAUUUUUUUCGUUUUUUUUUAUAAAAUGCUAUUUUUGCUAUUACUUAGUUACGGUGUGUGGUCAUUAAUAAACAAAUAAAAAAUUGCAAUUUAACACUCAGUAGUUUUGAGUGUUGAUGGUUCAUAGUAUCAAUUCCUCAACAAAUGAUCUGGACUAGAAUGACAUCUUGAUAAUUUAGACAAAAUAAAUAAAUAAAAUCACUUGCAGUAACAAAAACCGUUAUAACUUUAUGAGUUGAAUCUUUAAUAGUCCCAAAGGUCUUUUACAAGAUGAUUAGUCUCCAACUUCUUCCAAUCACAAGACAUUAGUAAUAAAAGAAAGUAGUUUCUAUUUGCAGAAAUAGAACCUCUCAUGUGAUUUUUACAUGACAGCAUGAAGUGUAAUAUUGUGUCAUAUUUCAUCGUUUAAACUCACUUCGUCUAAACUUCACGAGUGAUUAUCUUUCUUUUUGAAGAGGUAUAGAUCAUACUUUACGCUCUCAUGAAAAAAAUACACAUGGUAGAAUUCAUUUCACUCAUUUGUUGAGAUUCUAGUAGUCUGAGACCGUUUUAAAAAAAUCAAAAAUUCAUUGUUCUGCAAGCAAAUAUAAUGAGAGGAAUGGAGAGGAUAGAACUCGAUUUGUCUCCAAAUAUCUUUUACACGAUAUUCCAGAAAUGUAAUUCAGAAAAUCACCUCCUUUAAAUUUAGCAGAUAAUGAUCAAAUAUGUUUCACAUAUUGCACAGAAGGAUCAUAUUUCGAUUUUAAAUUUUGUACAUGCGUAGUUAAAUCAUGUUGAUCAUCAAGUUAAAAGGUUCUUGAUGGCAUCCCAUACAAAUUUAGUUAACAAAAUCAUUCCAAGCAACAUUGCAGAAGUCCAGCAUCUUUAUAAGUCUUGACAGUCCAUCAGCAGCAGCGCAGUCACUCAGCUGCUGAGCAAAACGGAAACCGUAUGAGGCAUCGGAACCAUACAUUAGUAUAAACGGAAAAACAAGACAAACAAGCCAAUUGGAAGAAAAAAAUCAGAAUGGAAUAACAUAAGUAGGCAAUUCCACUUAUUAUAAAUAUGAAUUAACAUCACUUGUGUGAGUUGAAGCAGAAACACAGAUGUACGUUAACUGUUGACUUAAGUUCUAACUCUCAUGCAGUGCAACAGAUCGUAGUUUGAAAAAGUUACGUUUAAAUUUCACAAAGAACAUAACACUAGUGUUGCAUUAGAUGAACGUUAUUAAAGGAAUGCAACUAAAGACACAUUAAUAUAGAAACUUGACAUCAAUUGAGCCACAUUUACAAGAUUAUGCAGGUAAAACUGUUAAUUGAUGCAAAUUUACAAGAUUAUGCAGGAGUAUGUUUGAUAUAAUGAUCUGGAAAUAAAUCCAUCAAUUAAAUUAAGCCCUAGGAAAUUUGAAUAAGAUAAUUGAUGGCUGGAGGAGCUCUAAAUCCUAACAGUUUCCCAGGCUAAAGUAUAUUUAAUGGAAACAGAAAAUGCUACUAGGUCAGAAUGCAGUCAAUAACCAAGCCUUAUUCCACCAAGUGUAAAUUAAAUUUUUGACAUAAUUGUCCUAACAUAAUGCAAAUUAAAUUUUUAGAGACAAUGUCUUUUGAGCGUCUAAAGUUACGCCAGUAGUCUGUGCAUAAGAAAGACAUUACCAGGAUCUUCCAUAUAUGAACCCCCGACUAGGUCAAUAAUAAUCCAUAAAAGGCCAUCAAAGUUUUUGUCAUAAAUCACUAAUAUGUGAUAGAUCUUAUCUUGUGACACUAAAUCGCUACUUAUAUCAACAUUUAUGUCAAAUUGACAUUACAAUUGGCAAAAACUUGAAGAAACUUUCCCUUUGAAAGAACAUAGCAUCUACACGAUUCAUUUCUAAAUCAGCCUCACCUAUAAAUAACUAAUAAAAACAAAACACCGUGGCUUUUGAAGAUCAUACUUUUAUUGCAAAACAAAUCUAAUAAAACAUGUUUUUUUAUCUUAAACAUCGUGGAUAAAUAACAAAACUGAACUCACACUAUUCUGCUAUUUGAAGAGAGAGAAAGAGGGUUAGUUCAAAGAAAUUGAAAUACGUAUGUGUUGUGUUUGCAAUCGAAAGCCAAAACUGAUAGGAAGAAGAUAGGGAGAAACAGACGGCGACGGCAACCACAAUAACGGCUUCGUCAACAGAAACGACGGCACAACCGCAGGACUUCGUUAACAGAAACGACGACAGCUGCAAUGACUUCGACGACAACCGCAACUACGGCAGCGACGAUGACGGCAAACUCACGGCGAUGAAAACUCUAGAUCUUGCAUUUACAUCAGAUUUGGGUUUUUUUUUAUAUAAGUGUUCAUGACAAAAAACCAGGUUUAGAUAUAAAAUCCGGUUCAGGUACCAUGAACCAGUAGUGAACCGGACUGAACUCUAUCAAACCAGUUUAAGAAAAAUCCAUUUUUUUUGUGAAAGUAGAUUUUUGAUCCAAGCUGUAUCCAUAAAUCUAGUAUGGAUCAGUUUGGAUAACCCAUUUGCACACCCCUACCUGACACUCCCCAAGCCCCACCAACACAAAAUAGACCCCCUAAAUACCUAUGCAGCACCAAUACUUUAAAUUGAAGGUGUGUUUGGUUCAAUGUAUGGCACAACACCAACAAAUGUAGUUAUAUUUAAUCACUUUCAUUUUCUCAUAUUAUUGCCGGUGCCAACAUGUCAGUGGUAUCAGUGUCAUGUGGCGUAAGUGUCAUUUCUAAUGUUUGUGUCAAUAUCAGCGUUUUAUAGCACCGACACUUCAAAUUGAAGGCGUGCAACUAACACGUGUAGGUACCCAACUAACACAAACACUUUUAAUUACAUACAAUAUCUUCUAUUAUCUAAAAUUAUUAUUGUGCCUACAUGUCAUUGUUGGUGUCCGGUGUCCGUGAUUCAUAGUCCAAAACAAAAAAUCAUCCCCAAACAUCUCUUUCUAAGCACAUUAAGAAAAUCAAACAAAAUGAUACUAGAAUCAACAUUACCACCUUGACUCCUAGCAUUUGGCUGAGCUAUAAUGCCAGUUUUUGACAAAGCUGAGUCCAGGAAUAUGCACCAGCCACUAGAUAAUUCUAGAGCCUCUCUUCCAUCCAUGAUAUUUGUACAAAUGGUUGUACAAAUAUCAUUACUCCAUGAGUUUACCUUACCAAGAGAUUAGUACCUUAGCAACUAUCUUAAGAUCUUCUUCAAUCUAACUUCUAAAAUAGAGGAAGAUACUAAAAAGGGUUAAACUAGAUUUACUCCUAAUAAUGAGAUAAGGAAAAAAAGAUAAAACAAUGAUGAAAAGAUUGAGUCUUUAAAUCAUGUUAAUGGCAGAGAGAUAACCACCCCUUUUGUACAAUGAUUCAAUGAAAACCAUGUUAUUUGCCUAUCAAAAGAUCAUGGUAAUUGCCCCACCCUGCCAAAAGUAAUAUAUUAAAUUAAGAAAACCCCUAAAUACAUCACAGUACAACCUUAAAUCACAAUGAAAAGAUCGCUUUCAACUCUAACUGGGAAGUUGUUUCAGAAAAACAUUAAUUGAUUAACACUAUAGUACUAAAUCUUCUCAAAAAAAAAUCAUUUUUAACUAGUGAGCUGAGCCACUUGAAAACAACAUGCGUCAGCCAGUUCAUAACUCCCAGUCCCAGAAACUAGUUUCUAAAUGACCAAUCAACAAGACUAUAUGCAAAGUAAAACAGUAAUUCCUUUCUCUGUAAACUGAUACCAAAGCAGGUAAAAGACUUGCGCUUUUUCACGCCCUCCUGAACCCUCUGUUACUCUUGAAAGCUUUCCAUACAUGACAUAUUCAUAGUUAUCAGCAAUUGAUUGCCGAUUACCCUGGAGAAUAAAAAAAUAGCAGCUUUCUCUUAAGCAGAUCCAAGAUUACUGAUUUGGAACACAACAAUUAAAAGAAAGAAAUAGUGACCAUAAAAAGAAAAGAUGCCAUCUGUGCAGUAGUAGCAAUUUAUUUUGCAUUACUUGGUUAAGAGCAAUGGGAUAUUUUUUAAAAAGUAUCAGUUAGAGUCUAACCAAAUUUAGUACAGAUAGGCUUAAACACCUGGAUAAUCAUCACUGUAUUAUGUAUUUGAAAGUUAAUUUUUUCUUAGUCUAAUUACACUUUUAAGUUUGGUCCUCUUUUGCCACCAUUAUUCAAGCUUGAGCAGAAACAAAAUACGAAUUAGAAAAAUCCAAUGAAGUACCGAAGGAGAGUGAUAUUCAACAAAUGUAUCCUAACCAGCCCCCAAACCAAUAACAUGAACCACAUACAUCAGAAUUUAUAACUCAGACACCAAAGAAGAAAAAUACUGAUUCAAGAGAAAGUGACAAUUGCAUAAAGGUCAAUAUAGUUCAAAAUACCUUAAAAAAACAGAAUAUGAGAUGCACAAAUAAUCCAUAUUCACCGGCGGUAGGCGUUGCUUAAGACAUCUUUCAAGGCAUUUGCAAGUAAAUGCUUUCUACUUUCUGCUAUUGUGUAAAAUUUUUCCAUUUCAUCCAGUGUCUCUCAAGCAAUCUUUCUUUGUUGCAGUUCCAUUUUUAAUCAUGGUAAUUUGUUUCUCCAUCUUAGCCCGCAUCUCGGGUUUCCACAAUGGCAACUUCAUUUGAUCAUACCCAUUAAAAAGUGCAAGACCCAACUUUGUUGGCUCAUAGCGCCAGGUAUUACCAUCAAACUUCCUUUCAACGUAUUUCCUCCCAAUUACCGUAUUGAUGAGUAGGUGCCAUGUGGAGUCUGUACCUAUUCUCUCUUGCUGCAUUCGUGAUAACAAGUCUUCAUCACUCAGAUUUUGCGGAGAAGAAUAUGUGGACCCUUUAACAAUCAAAUCCAUUGGAGUCAACUCUCCACCAGCUGUAUAAGGUGGAAACUUUGAGAACCCCAAAAAAAGAGACUCGUAGUGGUACAUUUUCCGGUAACCUAGCUGUUCAAAUAAUAAAACCAAUCAAUUUUGAAUAUCAAAAUUUAAAUUUCCAUAUAAACCAUAUACUUAUAAGCAUAAAUCAUAAAUAAAAUUUCCUGCUUAUUUCUAUCACAGAUUACAACUAACACACUCUUGCUUGUUUAACCCCUCCUUCCUUAUACAACCCAUCAACAAACGUAUUAAAAGAACGUCUGCAUGUCAGCAGGAUUGGAUGUCAAAACUUUUGGGUUUUGAUUUUGAAGUGAUUCACAAGGUAGGUGUGGAGAAGCUGAUGCUCUAUCUAGACAGCAGGAGGGGUCAGAAAUGAACGCUAUGUUCUCCACACCUUAGGAUGAGUUGCGAAUUGCAUACCUUAUAAAGCGUCAUUGUCAUUGCAAAAAAUUGCUGACCGGCCAAGUCAACUUCCACAGUUGUUUUUUGAACUAAUGCAUCUUCCGAGAGACAUGCCAAGAAAUGGCGAACAAUCAAUUCAUAAAGAACCUGUUGUCAUUAAAAAAUAGUUAAUUUUAUUAUGAAUUUAAUAUGAGACUUUAAAAUAAAAUACAGUAAAAUUUAACUCACACAUUGAUGGUCCUUCCAACCGGAUUCUUUUCUGUUAGAAAACUUAAUGGGGUGUAUGGGCGGGUGUGAAUGAUCAGUGUGUUUACAAGCCCUGGGAUCUCUCCAAAGGCCUUUGUUACUGUCUAGUAAGUCGCUCGCAUAUGAUCCCCAUUUUUCAUGCUUUGUUUGUUUUGACACUAUAGACCUGAGCUCCUUAGUGUUCAUAGAAAAUCCGUCAGUUUCAGUUCGAGGGUAACUGAUAAACCUCUGUGUAUAUAAAUCUUCAGCGGUAUCCAUUGUUUGUUUAGGAGUCAUUUUAAAAUAUUUUGCCGCAAAUUUCUCGAGUUCCAUUGUUGUCAAUGGAACUGGUGGACUAUGAAACUUAUUAGUUAUCUCCACGAAUACUUCAACAAUUGUUGCUUUUUCAUCAGAGCAUGAUUGCAAUUUCUUUGAAGCUUUACUCUUAGCAUCAUACCACACAGGUGAAGUGAAUGUCACCUUUGGUCCGUAGCCUCUAUCAUUGAAACUGAUAUUAUAUUUUUGUGCUUUAGGCUUUGCAACUUGGUUGAAUCUCUCAACCACUAUCCCAAGCAGCGCGGACUGACAUAACCCAUAGCUUAGCGUCAAGUUAGUUGCAUUGGGAAUUUGUUUCCUAGCCAAAAAAGAUUGAAACCAAGUCCAGACACGCCCCGUCUUGAAAUCCACUUCCUUUCUGUAAGCCACGGCAUCUAAAAGACAUGGAUUCAGGUCAUCCAAAGAAGUUUUUAUAGCUGCAUUUACUGCAGUAGGAUUAAGUGAAGAAAAUCUGGCUCUUUUAACAAUGAUCUCAGAAUUUUGUUGCACAUAAAUUUCACGAACCUCAUAUGCAAUAUAUUCCCCUUCGGAUUUAGAAUACUAUCAAAAGACCCAAAUAUACAUCAGGAUUUAGAAUUCAAUUACAUGAUGGGUAAUGAAGCAUGCAAAAUGAUAUUUGCUUCUACCAAUGGACAUAUUAAAGAAACGAAGUUUGAAAAACAAUCUGACAACGUGUGGAAUGAAGGUAAUACAAAAAAACUACUAUCACCUGAAACGGUUGUCGUGAGGAGUGUUCUUGGAGACAAAAUAGAUGUCGAAAACAAAUUGAGGGAUGAAGCAAAGAAAUGUAAGUGGCUUGUGCUCUGGUUUGAUAAUGAUCCCGAAGGGGAAUAUAUUGCAUAUGAGGUUCAUGAAAUUUGUGUGCAACAAAAUUAUGAGAUCAUUGUUAAAAGAGCCAGAUUUUCUUCACUUAAUCCUACUGCAGUAGACGCAACUAUAAAAACUUCUUUGGAUGACCUGAAUCCAUGUCUUUUAGAUGCCGUGGCUUACAGAAAGGAAGUGGAUUUCAAGACGGGGCGUGUCUGGACUAGGUUUCAAUCUUUUCUAGCUAGGAAACAAAUUCCCAAUGCAACUAACUUGACGCUAAGCUAUGGGUUAUGUCAGUCCGCGCUGCUUGGGAUAGUGGUUGAGAGAUUCAACCAAGUUGCAAAGCCUAAAGCACAAAAAUAUAAUAUCAGUUUCAAUGAUAGAGGCUAUGGACCAAAGGUGACAUUCACUUCACCUGUGUGGUAUGAUGCUAAGAGUAAAGCUUCAAAGAAAUUGCAAUCAUGCUCUGAUGAAAAAGCAACAAUUGUUGAAGUAUUCGUGGAGAUAACUAAUAAGUUUAAUAAGUUUCAUAGUCCACCAGUUCCAUUGACAACAAUGGAACUCGAGAAACUUGCGGCAAAAUAUUUUAAAAUGACUCCUAAACAAACCAUGAAUACCGCUGAAGAUUUAUAUACACAGGGGUUUAUCAAUUACCCUCGAACUGAAACUGACGGAUUUUCUAUGAACUAAGGAGCUCAGGUCUAUAGUGUCAAAACACACAAAGCAUGAAAGGCAAUGAAUUGAUGGCUACCUCGCGUGCCAGAUUGAUGACUCAGCAACAUUAAGACAGAAAAGCAAUGAAUUGGAAUUCCCACCAGAAGUCAUAGUUUCCUCAGCAAAUGGCGCACAGGCUGACUCUAGGAUGGCAAUAAAUAAACACAAAUUCAAUAAAAAUCAAAAUUUUAGAAUUUUUAAAACAUACCUUUCACAGAACUUCUAAAACAUGACAUCUAACACCAAAAAAUUCCCUAAGCCAAAGCUGAGGGUGAAUUAGUAAACUAGUAGCAAUAAAAGAUGCAAUUAAACCCACAACCACAAUAUAAAAAAAAUAACCUUAGCAUCUCAUAAGUUAAAACUCUGUUGUCAAAGCAGAAAUGCGGCGCGGUAUGCGGGCGCGACGCGGGCGCUAUUACAUGACGCUGACACUAAUAUAUUUAAUACUAAAAUACUAUAAUGUUGAAAAAGAAAUACUAAAACAACUUAAAUAUUGCUCAAAAUUCAUAAUGUAUUCAUAAUUUGAAAUAAAACAUGUCUUAUGCAAAAACAUAAGAACAUAGUUGCGAAAUACUAAUAAAAUUCAAGGUAGUUAACACCUUAAGCCUCUAAAGCUUAAAGUAAGAAAAGUACUAAACAUGAACUAAACAUGAAAUAAAAGGUCAAAUUCAAUAAUCAUGAAAAUCUUCAUUAUCACUUCCACUUCCAUUAUGUAAAUUAUAUAAUACUUAUUGAAAGAAAUAAAAGUACUAAUUACAUAGAAACUAAGAAGAAUGUCUUGCGUGAUUCAUAGAAAUUAGAAACUAAGAAAUAAAAGUAAUAAAUACAAGUUACAACCAGGGGCGGACCUGGACUUCCAAUAUCAGCGACGGGCGACGGGCGACGGCGGUUCAGUGGUGGGUGGUGGACUUCAGGACUGACCGGUGGGUUGUAUGUGUUGCGUGCGUGCAACAGUCGAUUUGGAAAAGAAACGGAAAAGGAAAACGCGUGUUCUGCUGAGUGAGUGCUGAGAAAACAACCAAAAUUGGGCUGGGCUAAAACAGAGCUUUACCCUAAUAUUGGCACUGACGUGACAUUUUUUUUGUUUUAUUUUUCAAACUUUUUUUGAAUGCCACGUGUAAAAAAAGAAUUUACAUGUCAUUUAUAAUUAAAAAAGUAUUUUUUUUUUCAAAAACGAAAAAUCCUUUUUUUAAUUAAUUUUUAAAAAGAUAAAAUUAUUUUAAAAAUCAGAAAAAAAAAAUCUAAUCUUUUUUUCAAAAAUUUGAAAAAUCGAAAAAAAAAAAAAUCAUUCCUAAUUUCAGGAAAAAAAAUCUUUUUUCAAAUGCUCAAGCACAACAGCAAGAGACUUCCUAUGCUCCUAAACACAAUCAAAAGACUUCUAUUGCUCAAGCACAACUGCAAGAAAACUGUUUGAGGUUGAACACUUGAUAUACAAUCAGUGGUGUUCACAAUACAAAUCAGAUACAGACUCCUAAGACUCUGGAAUUUCUAAGAUAUGAAAGUUGAUAAGAAAUUCUAAGUGAACUUUUGAAUGCAAAACAAUUUCAGUAGAGUUUUGGCACUAUCUAAAUUGUUGUUGAGUCGUUUUUCAUGCAUUACCAAUCUCUGAGUCUUCACUCCUUUAUAUAGAGGUGUGAAAGAGACGUUGUGAAUUGCCAGCAUAUCAAAAUAGAGUCGUUUGAAGCUUUGAUCAAUCACCAAUGAUCUUUUGCCUGAUAUGGUUAUUGUCCUAUGAAGGAUCAAUUUCAAAUCCAUUCUCAUAGUGAAGGAACAACACCCCGUUUUCCCAACUUGAAAAUUUCACAUAUAAAUCAGAGUAUUUCAACAUAUACGGAAUGUCACACUUCUUUUCAUAAAAUCAUAAACAGAAUAAAAUUACUAUUUAUUCUUCAAAUUCAACAACAUAUCAUUUAUUACAUCACAGCGGAAAUUAUUCAAUAUUUAAACAACUGAUGAGUUAAUAAUUAGGUGUUUUAGAUUAAUAUUUAGUUUCGUUUUAGUUAAAUUCAAGUUUAUUUUAUUUUAAUAUUAUUUCAUUUUUAAGCUAGUUUACUACAAAUUGCAUUUUAUUAUAUUUCAGGAACGAAUAUUGGAUGGAUUGAGUCUUGAAGCAAAAGAAAGGGAUUUGGAGCUGAUUCGGUACGAAAAUACGAAGAUUUGGAGACAAAAUAUGUCUCCCCCAAAGUCAGAAGCUUGGCACGGUCCGUGGUAGCAUUGGCACGGCCGUGCCACCCUCUAGAGUCCAUUUUGCUGCUUUUGCUUAGAUUUUAAGCUACUCUAUUUUAGCCCGCAGUUUCUUGUGGAACAUUCUAGUAAUGUAAUUGCUUAGAUUUGAAGUCGAAUGUAUGCUAUAAAUAGAGUAGCUAGCCAUCACAAAUAUUCAUCUUUUCUUGGAAUUCAAUAAGUGACAAUUGUCUUUCUAAUAAAAGUUCUUUUCUUUUUCUUUACUUUCUUGUCAUUUACUUUUAUGCUUUCUCUCUUCUUCCCCAUGUCUACGAUGAACAUGAGUGAGUAGACUUCUUAUGUCUUGGGAUUGUUGGAUAAGUCUAAUGACAUAAUCCUAAUCAAGUCAAGCCUUAAACCUUAAUAUUAUGUAACCCUAGUUUCUCUUCUAAAUUCACCGUUUUAACAUGGAUUAAAUAUUAUCAAACUGUGGAAACGAAAGUGGAGGGUUUGAUAAUCGUUAAUCCAUUAUUCCAAAUGUUAAUUCAGAAAACGAAAGUGGAGCUUUAAUAUUCGAUCAAGUGAAUUUAGACAAGGAUCGCGAAACAUGAAAAUAGUCUAGUGAACCUUGAGACUUAUAGAGUUUCGAACUUCAAGGAUUCUAAUAGUAAUCAACCAUGAAAAUAGGCGUGCUUGCUAGAGGAACACACUCACUGAGACCGAUAGGAGAUGUGAUAGGCUUAAGAGAAACUCGUCUUUAGAAACUAGGUCUAAAAUAAGGUUUUAGGUUUAAUGGCUUGGCUUGUGAAUGAUUUGUCGCCUAUGACGGACCAACGAUCCCAAGGCUCUCUUUUAUUAUUAUUUUCUCUUUCAAUCAUUUGAAAACAACAAUCUUACAUUCCUGAUUCUCUUCUAAUCACCAACUAAAGUUAAUUGAAUUAAACAACUCCGUGUCGGAACGAUACUCUUUUCAUUACUACUUCGGUAAGACCGUGCACUUGCGGUUUUAUCCCAUCAACAACCUUGGCACAAAGGCCUCAACUAUUCUCGGUCACCUGCAAGUUACCCAUGCAAAGGCAACAAUUUCCAAGCAGAAGGGGUGAGAUUUCACAUUCAAUAAUAAAAACAUAUAAUUCAUCAAAUGCAUUUAACAACAUAAACAUCAUCAAUUAAUAAUAAUAAUUCUUCAUAUAAUACUUCAUUAACAACUCAUGGAUAGAUGGCAACUUAACAACAACGACAAUGCAACAUCUACGACUUCAACUCGACAAUGCAACUACAUCUUCUUAAUCAUGCAUGUGGUACCAACAUAAAGAGCAUAAAUAUACUCACAGGGCAUCAAGCCCUCAACUUAAAGAGCAAAUAGGCUCAUAGGGCAUCAAGCCCUCAACGUAAAGAGCAAUGGCUCACAGGGCAUCAAGCCCUCAACUUGAAUGAGUAUGCAUGGACUCAGUAUAACACCCCGAUUUCCCAACAUAAAAUUUCAUAAAAUAAAAAUCAGAGUAAUCACAUAAUCGGAAUGUCACAUUCUUUUUCAUAAAAUCGCAUAAUGAAUAAAUAACUAUUUAUCCUUCAAAAUUCAAUAAUAAAGUCUUUAACACUUCGCAGCGGAAUUUAUUAAACUUCUAAAAUGGUCUUUGGCACGAAGGCCUAAUCAUAAACAUCUCAAGUAAUCAUAAACAUCUCAUAAGUUCAAAUCCAACAACUUAAUCAUAAAUCUCAUAAAAUAAUACGUAAGGAAUAGAAAGAAAUAACAAGUUCCCAUCCCGAUAUGUAUCAGAGCACCUAAAGACACACUUGUGAGAGAGUCCACUCACGACCGCGACUAAUCUUGGUUACCUGCAAGUUACCCACGUAUAGAGGCAACAUUUCCAAGCAGAAGGGGUGAGAUUCACAAACAAUAAUAUUAAGCAUAUAAUUCAAUAAUUAUAUUUAACAACAUAAACAUCUUAAACAUAUCAUAAUUAUGAUUUAUCAUCAAAUGCUUCGUUAAAACAUCACAACUUAACAACUUGACUCGACUAUGCAACUUCAACUUGACUAUGCAACUCUAUCUUCUUAAAUCAUGCAUGUGGUACCAAUCCAGGGCAUUAAGCCCUCAACGAGUAGAGCAAAAGCUCACAGGGCAUCAAGCCCUCAACGGGUAGAGUAAAAACUCAUAGGGCAUCAAGCCCUCAACUUAAAUGAGUAUGCAUGGACUCAACUUCUUACAACUUAAACAACGUGAACAUCUCAUAUGACUCCAAUAAUUUGGAUUGACAUCUUACAUCUUAGACCGACUCAUGCAGUUCAAUCAAUAAUAAACAGCAGCAUGACAGCACAUAAAACAACUUAUGAUAUAACAAUAUCAAGUAGUAAUCAACAACUUAAAACAUCACAAAUAAUUCACAUAAUGCAUAUAUAAAUAUAUGUCACAUUAAUAACAACACCAAAUCAUCUUAUCAGACAUUCUGAACAACAACAACAGCAUAAGCAACUUAGUUUAUUACCCCCAUGAUCAACUCACAUCAACUCGUGCGACAAAGGUCACAUAAACCCUAACAAGGCAGUCUGUCACUCAAGGGCUCGCGAGGCGAGAGCCUCUACUCGCCAUGGCGAGUUCACAAAGUUUGGUUGUUCGCCUUGGCGAACAAGCAGCUCGCCUUGGCGAACUAAGAACUGGGUGCUCUCGGGAACUUGACAUUUUUCACCCAAAAAUCCCAUUUUUAACUUCCCUGUGUUCAAUCUCAGUCUAAAAAUUUACCUAAUCAUUCUUAUACAUAUUCAGGCACUCAAAACCAUCUAAAACUCGACUAAAGGCCCACUUUUACAAAAUCAUGUUGAAUCAAGGUCUACUCGCUAUGGCGAGUGACUUGCUCGCAGUCGCGAGUGAAAUCUGGGCUCACUCGCGAGGCAUGAUCACUCGCGUGGCGAGCGAUGAACUUCAUCACUUGCGAGGCGAAACAUGCAGCUCGUGAGGGCGAGCGAUGAAUAUAGGCUCGAGCAGAAGUGCAGUUUUCACGAAAAUUUACCUAUUCACAUGGUUUUAAGCUUAACAUUGAUUCCUGUAAUCAUCCAAUGGAUUAUCUAAGGUCUGUACACAGUUUUUACAUCAAUCUAAUGAUUUUACACCGAUUAAUCAUGGAUUUCUCACUUUUAACCUAAUUCCCAAUUUCUCAAAAACUCAUCAUACAACUUGUUAAAUCUAAUCAUCAGAAUUAUACACUUAUAUAUAUAUAUAUAUAUAUAUAUAUAUAUAUAUAUAUAUAUAUGGGAUGUUUCAAAUGAGAGGAGUGGUUAUUGUGAGAGGGUGAGAGCACAAAACAAUGACGGUCAGAUGUAAAUAAACGGCUUUGAUCCACUUUUCACAUAAAACUUGCACAGUGCAUCUAUUUUCCCUUCUUUCUUCCCUUUCUUUUCAAUUAUACUUUUCUCUCUCUUCUUUCUAACUUGGAAUGCAACGCCAUUGUUCUGUUCCUAUGUUGUAAAAGCACUGUCAAUAAGGAAAAAAAUGAGAUUUUAUUUUUUUUUUAAAAUCCAAGAUCUAGUGGUUAAUAAAAUUAUUACGGAAAUCAGACAUUGUUUUCUUUGUUUUUUGGAAAAAGGAUGAGAAGAACAAGUAGGAAUUAAGCUUUUUUCUUCUUCAAUUCUUAUGAUUUUUUCAUAGAUCUGAGAGCAUUUAGAGUUCAAUUGAAUGGAAUUGAAGUGAGAAUUGAAACAGGGUUUUGAAAAGGUUGGAGACGUCAUGCUUUCAAAACACAGUAACCUAAUUUUAAGUUUCUAUGGUAGCUGCAAUCUUUCUUUCUUUCUUCAUUCUGAGCUUGAAACGACGACGUUUUGUUCCAAAUCCAUGGAAUCAGACUUCAACGUCGGAACCGUCGCAACGUAACGCGUAGAAAAAUUCCGAAGUCGGAAUAUGAAUAGACCUGACGGAGUUCCUGUUCCUAAUCGCCGGAGUUUGUCGUCGGUGUUACUGUGCCUAAUCGCCGGUGUUCAUCGUCGGUGUUCCGCCGGAGUUUGCCAACGUUGUUCCUGUUCGUUUUUUGAUCUAAGCUUUGAUGAUCUGGAAUAUUAUAAUUUAUAAUUUCAUAUUACUUUUUUAAUUGAAUUAUUUGGUUGUUAAAUUAAUGAAAGAACAUUAGAAAUGUAUUUUAGUGGAGAGGAAUACGGUAAAGAAGGAGAUGAAGAAAACUGAAAAUUGGAAAUGAGUAUACGAAGAAGGGAUGGAUGAUGGAGAAAUUGAGCAAUAUUAAAGCACAUAAGUUACUACAAUAAGAGUUUUAAUGUGAGUCAUUGAUUUUGAUCUAAUGGUUGAGGUUUAUUCCUCUCACCUCUCAUUUGAUAUUCCCUAUAUAUAUAUAUAUAUAUAUAUAUAUAUAUAUAUAUAUAUAUAUAUAUAUAUAUAUAUAUAUAUAGGAUGUUUCAAAUGAGAGGAGUUUUAAAAUGAGAGACGAGAGCAUUGAAUAUUAACCAUUAGAUCAAAAUUAACGGUUCAGAUCUGAAGUUUCCUUGAAACUAUAUAUUUUGUCUCAUUUUCUUAUUGUACGCGCGCGUGUAACUCACAUAUGUUUCCAGCAAUUACUUCUCCUUUCUCAUUUUGAUUAUAGCUUUCUCUGUCAUUUUUCUCACUCUGCAACUCCUUUCUUCUUCUCAUGACCCUUUGCAAACUAUGGCUACUUACAUAUUAAGAAUUAUAAAAAGUUAAAAUUAAGUACAAGCUACUUCUCCUUUCUUGUUUAACAACAAUUAAAAAUUAAGAAGAAAAAAAAGUUAAAUUAUACUCCUUUAAUUUUAUAAGGGCUUCGAUUCACAAGCUACCUUUAAUUUUGGAACCUCUUGCAAUUGAUUACUUGCCGUUCAUUUAAUUUCUUGAAACUGAAAAGUCUAUCAGCAAUUAUUUCUCAGUGUUUCUUUUUUCCAAUUUGUGAAGAAAUUGGAAUAAUAAAAUAUAAAUUCAAUAUGUAAAAUUAUUCUGAAACUUUCAUCUUUAAUUUUGCAAUACGAUUACACCGCCGUCGUCUCUGAUCCCUCAAAACCACAUUUGAAUUUUUUUUUGCACCUUCGUCAUCAUCAAUCUGCAAAAUACCCUAUUUGAUUUUCCAAAUUUUGAGAUUAAAAAACGACCAUUAACAUGAUUUGUUUUUUUGUUUUUAAUUGAAAAACCUGAACAAUUUAUUUAAUGGAUGAUUCUGAAGAGAUUUGAAAAUAGAUGGGAAGAUAACAGUGAAAGAAAAAAGAACAGGGAAAAAAACGAAAGAAAGAGGAAGCGCGUGGGUGAGAAUUGUAAGGUUCAAUCUGAAGAGUUUAUUUUAAUCCAAUGGUUGUCCUUUAAUGCUCUCAUCUCUCAUUUUAAAACUCCUCUCAUUUGAUACAUCCCCUAUAUAUAUAAGACUAUUACUUUUCCCACCCUGUUGGUUUCCUCGCGCACCCUAUUUUUUUCUCCAAAAAUGCCCCUUGAGUUUCCGGAUUUUAUAAUUCGGAAUGAUGUUUUCUUUUGUUAAAAGUGAAAAAAUGAGUAACGGAUUUUUCCGGAUUUUCUAAUCCGGAAACUUCAAAAAUAGGGCGCGUUACAUGAUGUUUUCGGAUUACAUAAUCCGGAAAUCCCCUAAACACCAUUUUUUAAGGUAAAACAGUUCGGAUUAUAUAAUCCGAACUGUAUCAGCACAAAUUCUAAACAUGUUUGUAACAUGGAUAGUCAUUUUAGGGACAACAUUAAUCAUGAUUAGAUAGUGUCUUCGUUGUCUUGAUUUUUGUUAUCGUUAUUGUGCUAGAAUCCAAUAAGUCAUAAGCUUUUCUAACUACACUUUCACUAAACUCUUUGAAAUUUUUUAAAAACGCUAUUAACCCCCUCUAGCACAUAUCCUUAUUCGCCAUAGAGACCAACAAUUGGAAGGAAAAAAAUGGAUCUUUACACAAAAGCCGCAAAGAGUGUUGUUGUCAAAUUUUUAAUUUAUAGGACUAUUAUGUAGAUAUAUCUUGGUGAUUUUCCAAGCCAAAAAUGUUGUCGACGUAAUUGUUUUUAAAGCUGUAUUUAAUAAAAAUAAGGGGAAAAAAAAUUCCUUUUGAGACCAGUUUUGUGGGAAGUCAGGUGCAGAAUGAAAAAUAAAAAAUAAAUAAAUGGAAACACUCAUGAGGGUGAAACCAGUUUGUAGGUAAAAUUAAAUAAAAAAGUAGAUGACAUAUUGAAUUGUUAUUGGAUGUGUUAAAAAGUGUCUUAGUGGGUGUGUCCCUAUAAGUUAUUUAGCUUAUGAGAAAUUAACCUCCUCUAAUUGAUUAUUGAUUCUUUAUACAUAUCUUUCUUUGAAAGCUUAUUAAGAGAGAGCAUUAACAACCCCAAAUGGAAUUUAAAGGUCUGCGCUCAGACAUGAGUGCUCAACUUAGGCUUUGUUUGCAUGUUUUGUGUAACAUUAAAGAAAAUGUCUAGUACUAGAGAUCAAUGUAAUUUUGAAAAAAAAUUUGAAACUGAUGAAGCUUAAAUAAUUUUUGGAUCUUUAAUACUACAAUUACAUAUAUUUCAAAAUGUACAACAAGAAUUUACAAUUUUGUAUACGACCCUGACCGUGAUCCGAUAACGAAGAACUCUACAUUGAACUGUUGACGAGUAGUCCGGACAUACUCUUCAACUUUCCAAUAUCAAGUUUAACCAGAAAACAUCAUCCAAACAUAGUGAGUACAAAGACUCAAUAACAUAGAAUAUACAAUAAAAUGCACUUUGAUGUUCUCAGCCAUGUCUGGUACUAGACAUGGAAAAAGCUCUCUCAUCAAUAUUACUAAUUAAUAAACUCUUACUUAUCUAACAUUUUACCAAAUGCAUAAUGGUUUAUAUACAUAGGAAUUCGUCCUAUUCGUAUAUUAUUUACUUUAGCUGCACUAUACAACUACUUAUAAUUCUAUUAACUAAAUCAAACAGAAUAUAGCAUGAGUAAUAUAUCUCUUUGUGCAAAUCAACAUAUAAGAAUAAAUGAGUAUUACAGAGAGGAAGUAGUCUUGUCAAUUUUAAUUGCAGAUACUCCUAAGUGUGAGUGUACUUAGGAAUAAUCUACCUCCUAGUGAAGUUAACUUAUUCGCAAGCGGCGUCCCACUUACUACUUCACUAGCUCUUACCUCACAAUUGAUUACUUUGAUUUCUUUAUGUCUAUAUGUAAUGAAUACACUUAGAGCUAACUUUAUACUUGCUGCAAAAACUUAUCAUUACAGUAUACUACAAUUAUCUCACAACUAUGUACAAAUAGUUACUUAUAUAACCAUAAAGCAAAUUUAGUAUAUGACAUUGCAACUUAUUUCUAUCUGGUGUUUACACACACAUAAUACAUACACAGAACUAGUGCAUUUUUCUUUUUAUAUAUCUAAAUUACUUUCAAAGUACAAGGUAAUUUAAACUAUAAUUUCAAAUUACAAAGUAAUUUAAUAACAAUUCAUAUUAUUUCUACCUUUGCUAACAUUACCAAAAACAACACAGAAUUAGAGUUUUCAUGUCUAAUUAUCCAAAUCAAUUAUCCAAAUUUAAAUUCUAGAAUCCCUAAUUCCACUUUUCCUCUCAUUAACCCUAAAUCGAGCACAUGCAAUCAAUAAUUAUUAAGGAAAUUAAGUACACUCUAGAGAGGUUUUGAGUUUGGGAUAAGACUAUGUUACCUUAGAUUUUACUCCCUAAUUUUAACUUGAUUUUGUAAUUUCCAUAAUGACUAUAGCUUCUUCAAUGGUAGCUUCCCCUUUUUCAAUCUUGUAGAUGUAGGGUUGCAACUCAAACUCAGAUCUCUUCCCUCUCCCUCUCCCUCUCUCUNNNNNNNNNNNNNNNNNNNNNNNNNNNNNNNNNNNNNNNNNNNNNNNNNNGCAAUAUAAAAAAAAAGAGGGUAAGGAGGGUAAUAAAGCAAAGAGAAAAGAAAUGAGAAGAGUAAAAGAUAAAUAGGAUGCAAGAGGAGGAAAAAAAAUAAUAGUAGGGUAGAUAAGAGAAAAAAAAUAAAUAGAAGAAAAAAAAGAAAAAAUAUAAGGAAAAGAUAUAACAAAAUAAAUAUGCGGGAGGAGAAGAAUAAAUAAUAAAUAGAAGAAGCUGGAAAAGAAGGGAAAAGUAAAUCACUUGAAGACUACCUAUAAAAAUUUAUAAUUCAUAAGAACGUAGAGGAAAUAAAAAGAAAACAGAAGAGAUGGACAAAGGUAAGAAAAUAAAAAAAAGAGGGCAGGACAAAUAAGGGGGGAAAGAGACGACGGAGCGAAAAAAACAAAAAAAAAAAAAAAAAAAAAAAAAAAAUCUCUCUCUCCCCCUCCCCCCCCCUCUCUCACUCUAAAUAAUUAUCUGAUACUUUCCGAUACGUAUCAGGAGAGUAUCCGAUAAUUAUCCUGCACCAAUACCUGCCCCAAUACUUCCCAAUUAAUGUUAAUUAAAAUAACUUAACUUUUGAGUAUAGUGCUUCUUUUUUGGAUCGAUGUAAUAUAGCACUAACAAUGUUCAUUUUGGAUAUAGUGUAGCACUUAUGGUGCUCUUUUUGAGAUAUAUUGUGUAUGUAAUUGACUAAUCAUCACUCUCUUAAUCGUCACUAUUAUUUAUAUUUAUGUUGAUGUGCUACGAGCCUAUGACUGAUUUAUUUUGUUUGUUAAUAUAUUUGUAUAUUAAAAAAAUGGUUAUAAUUAUAUUGUACAUUAAAUUUUAUAAUAUUUUUAUUAACGUAUCACAGCCGUAUCGUAUCUUGAUUUUUGAAAUUUUCCUGUAUCGACGUAUCGAUGCAGUAUCGUAUCCGUAUCGUAUCUCGUAUCCGGGCUUCACAGGAAAUACUUAAUAGGAAAGAUGGAUUUUUUUUUUUGAAGCUGUUACUUUGUGAAAGAUUUAAAGCUAACAUAGUCAAAUAAAGAGUAAUGAUAUUUCUACAAUCAUUUUGUGAUAGCUUUUGGAUAACCUUCUUCUUCCCUCUUUUAAUUGGUCAUAAACAAUAGAUAGAGAAAUAAGAAGAGAGAAAGUAAAAACACAAUGAAAAUAAAAGAGAUUUGUCCAAAAAUUAAAAUAGUUGUAUAAAUAUGAUUUCUCAAAAUAAAAAUUCAAAUAGUUCACUAAUUGAUUGAACAUAUAUUCCUUCAUUAAAAAAAAUUGAUUGAACAUAUAUGUUUUGUUGUUAUAUAUAUAUAUAUAUAUAUAUAUAUAUAUAUAUAUAUUAUAUAUAUAAUUUUUUUUUUAAAACUCGGUAUCCGAUCCAAGAAUCGACUAAUCUGAAGGGACCAAUCUCACCCCCCACUUGGGGGUCCCGUUAAGCCAGAGCAAGCUCUAUAUGGACUUAACCCACCGAAAUUGGCACCAGAAGGAAUAUCCAACUUGAGACCUCUGGAGGAGCAAACUCCAAGAUCCCAAGUCAACCACUAGGCCAACCCCAAAUGGAUUUUUAUUGUUUUAUAUUUAACUUUUUUUUUACUAUCCAAAAUCCAAAUUGAAGAUUAAAAUUCAUUUUUUCUGGUUAUAACAAACUUUAAAAAAAAAAUUGGGGAUUUGAGAAACCAUAGAUAGUUGUAAGUAUUUUAUGUGAUGUACCACGCGGAUAACAUUUAAGAAAAUGCAUUAAGUUUUAUCCUUAUUUUAACUCUAACAAAAAUCUUAGGUGAAUUUCCCUAGGUGCUUUUCAUAUGAUAUAAACUAUUCAUGAAAAGUGUAUUUUUAGCUAAAAAUCAUAUGAAAAACACAAAGAAAUUCACACGAGUUUUUUACUUAUUUAAAACUAUUUUUGUGUUUCUCAUUUUUAUCUCAUUCAUUAAAUUUUAUUUUAAAUUAUAUUUCAUUUAGCAUAGAUUUGUCAAAUUUGAAAGAUAAUUCAUUCAUUUUAUAAAUGAUAAAUUGAUCGAGAAAAUUUGAAAGAUUAAAUUAUUUAUUUUAUAUAUUUACAAGAAAAAAAAAUUAUAUUUUCCUACAUGUUGUCAUUGUUUUUAUUAUAAACACGUACUCCUUGAUAAUUUUUCAACUUGGAUAACUAGAACUUGUUUAUUUUAUAUGUUAAGUAGGUUUUGUUUUUUGUUACAAACUCAGAAUCCGGCGCAAUGAAAGGUAAAAGUUCAUGUAACUUAUAGAUGUAUUCUUUGCUCAGAUUUUUUUAGAUAGAAUGGAAAGAAAAGUUCAUGAAAUGUUGCAAGGUUAAAUAUUUUUUAUUAGUUAAGAACCACACGAAAAGCACCUAAAAAAUUGUACCUAAGUUUUCCAUGUCUAUCCUUACUUCAAGGACUUUCUACCCCCAUUUUAUUUUAUGGUGGGUUUCGAAACCCAUUAUAUAUUUUCAUUGUGGAUUUCUACAUGUUUUCCCCUCUAAAAUUGUAGGUUUCGUUAAUUAUCCUCUUGAAAUUAAUAAAACUUCAAUUAUCUCCCUGAAAUUGCAUAACGUUAAUCAAUUUACCCCAUCCGUCAAAUUUUUCUGUUAACUAUUUACGGUUAUAAUCAAAUACCCCCCCUGAAAUUUUGCACUUAUGUGCAAAAUGUCCCCUAAACUUGAAAAUUUAUAUUUGUCUUUAUCCUUGACUCAAAAGAUAUUAAAGGCAAACAAUUAACAAUUAUUGAUCAUAUAAAUCUUUAUGGAAUGUAUGUUUAUGCAGCUAUUGAUCAUAUAAAUCUUUAUGUAAGAUAUGUUACUCUCAUGUGUUUUAAAUAUAUACAUAUAUAGAAGACUUUUUUUUACACAAGUUGGUAAUUAUGUUAGAGUAUGCAGUCAUAAAGUACACAAGUCUUUGAUAAUUGUGUGUCCAUAUAGAAAAUUCAUAGGUUAAUAUCUGGAGAAGGAAGAAGAAACAAGGCUUAGGUUUGUGAAUUUGCAACUUAAUUAAUGAUAUAAUUUUUAUAAUGCAGGAAAUGUCAUAUCUAUUAGCUGCAACAUGUUAAAUAGAUUAUGUCAUAGACCUUCUGCAUGAAGCCGGUAGAUCACAUUGUACUACAAAGUUAUGUGAUAUAUAUCAAUUUUCUGCUGCUAUGCAUUCUCUGCAGAAGGAAGAAGAAACAAGGCUUAGGUUUGUGAAUUUGCAACUUAAUUAAUGAUAUAAUUUUUAUAAUGCAGGAAAUGUCAUAUCUAUUAGCUGCAGCAUGUUAAAUAGAUUAUGUCAUAGACCUUCUGCAUGAAGCCGGUAGAUCACAUUGUUCUACAAAGUUAUGUGAUAUAUAUCAAUUUUCUGCUGCUAUGCAUUCUCGUCUUGGUUUAUUUCAACAACUUGAUAUCUUUUUAAUGUUUGGUUUUUAGUUUUACCUUCUUUGUAAAAAAAUUAUCUUGCUCCUUGUUGAUAAAUAUGAAAUAUGAAUGAAAAGGCUGCACAUGACAAAAUCAUGAUUUCUUUGACAUAUAUUCAUUCAUUUUCUUGUGAAUAGAAUUUUUAUGACAAUAAGUACAAUAUACUACUUGAAGAAUUAAAUGUAUGAUUUUUGGUAAGAAAAAAAAUCUAAAUUUUUAAGUUUAGGGGGCAUUUUGCACAUAAGUGUAAAAUUUCAGGGGGGUAUUUGAUCAUACCGUAAACAGUUAACAGAAAAAUUUGACGGAGGGGUAAAUUGAUUAACGUUAUGCAAUUUCAGGGGGUAAUUGAAGUUUUGUUAAUUUCAGGGGAGUAAUUGACGAAACUUACAAUUUCAGGAGAGAAAUUGACUAUUUACUCUGGCCGAAGAUCCUUGAAUGAAAUAGUGUGGAAAAUUUUGAUUUUACCAUUCUUAGUAUAUAUGAAAAUGUCAUUAAGAAAUGAAGUAAGGUUAGUGAGAAGAGACCUGUGUGGGUUUCAGCUGGGUUAGCUAUGA
rnacentral:lncRNA from 1 species